UGCCAGCAGUCAGAGAGGAAGGAGCUCCCUGAGCAAAGAUGUGAGGAGAAGCCUGAUUGCAGACCUAUCAGAAGAAAAAUGCUGAUACCAAUGAGCUCUGUGCCUCAUGGUGAAGGAACAAGCUAUCCCAAUGGGAUGGGAGAAUGAGAAGUGCAACAGGCAACCAGCUCUGACUAGACAGCAAUCUCUUCAAAUCCCUGUAAUAAUAACAAAAAGUGAAAGCAGAGAGCCCAGACUGCAAAAGGAACAACUGACUGUCUAGGAUUGAUAGAUCACUAAAUGCAGUGUAACUUUCAUACGUGGAAGAAGCUGCUGCUAUGGGUUACAGAUUUUAGUAAUAUUACGCUUAGAUCUAAAUAUUGCCCUUAGGAAAUCUGCAAUCAUCUUAUUCAUUUGCUUGAAUUAUGCAUGGGAGACUAUGAUAUCUGGCUAGCUCAACAUAGAUUAUUGCUAUGGGACUAGUAUAAAUGUAACGGUAUUAUUAGAUUAGAUAAAUUGCACCCAGUAGUACAAUUACAUGCAUCCCACCUCGCCAGACUCAAUCUUAUCUUUUAACUGGGUAGGGUCAAAGUUUACAAAGACUAUACAUUUCAGUCACUGUUAUUCAAAGGCUCCUAAUAUCCUUGAUACCCAUUUAACAAUAAAUCUGAAGAACAUGUUGUCAGUAGAGUGCAUGAUCUUUCAACACUCUUUUUCUUGAACCUCCCUGGAUUCUUUUCAUACUUCAUUAGGAUCUAUGAGAGUGAAAGAGAAAUGCCCAGAAAAUACCAUAGGAGUAAUCUAUUUCUUCUGAUUUUCAGUGCUUUUUUGUAAGAGGACUGUAAGAAAGAAGGUGUCAAAGGGAGAAUGUUAUUCGUAGGAUGUCCUGUAUGUCAUUUAGAUCAAACCAAACACUUUGACUAUAUAUCAACAUAUACAGCUCCCUCUGAUUCCAUGUAUGUUCUUCCCUUCCUUCUAAUUAAAUGUCAGCUCUGCUUAUAAAGAAAUAGCAGUGUUAGGUUUAUUUGCACAAGACUGUGAAAAGCAGAACACUUAUCCCACAUUUGAAUACCAAGCUCAUUAACACCUAGGUAGAUAUAUUGCCUAAAUCUGACAUUAGAACUUUGAGUAGGCUCAUUAUUUAUUAUUUAGCUUGUAGUAGCAUUUGGAGGACACCUCCUCCUCCCCCAUCAGGGAUCAAGGGGCCAUUGGGCUAGGAGCUGUGGAAAGAUACUUUCUUGCAAACGUUUCUCCACAUGCUUACCCAUAAGUAUGUAUACACUAUUCAGUAAGUCUGAAUCCUAAUGCAUUAAAUGAAACAGUCUGAAACUGAGCAGGUGGACACAUGGAGCAACAGGAAAUAGGAUUUGAGAAAAAUGUAAUGGCAGAGAUGGGUAUACUUGCAUACAGAGGUAUCCACAUUAGGCAAAGCAGUUGCAAGUAACUGCCAGCCUAGUCAAUACUAGUAGGCUCCAUAGGUUAAGUAGGCAUGGCACAUUACCAUAUUUGCCUGAAUGCAACACAACCCUGAAUUUAAGAGGACCCCCAAUUAUCAGAUCCUUGACACGGACAAUGUUACACUUAUUUUAAUUUUCCAUGUCUAGAACCUAGUUACUGGAGUGUCACCUUAAAUUCAUCCCCCACCACCACUGCCACUACCCUAUUAAAUUCUCAACUGUUAAGAUUUCUGUGAAGUAUGAAGUAUUCCUGUAACAAACCUAGAUUCUGCCAUUAGUCACAUGUGUCAAAGUUGGGCAGAACUGGCUUAUGGGGUGUGUCUGAACCCAGAGCCAACUCAGGAAUCUCUGCACUACAUUGAAUUUCCGCAUUUUCUUCUGCAUAGACAUCAAGGGUAAGGCAGAGAAAUACAAUAGUAAAUAUAGAUGGCCAUACACUAUCUAGAUUUACUUUGCACUAUCUCUAUCUUUUUAUAAGUCAAAUUGCUUGUGAUUAUUAUACAUGAAUACAUAAUAAUAUAUGCUGCUUUGUUAAUCUUAUUGAGUCAGACUAAAUGAGAUCGUUGGAAAACAUUUUGAGCCAGUGUAAGUUUGAUCUCAUUCCCUAAAGCUAUGAAAUAUAGAGAGAUCAGUUUGUUGCUCCAAGCACAUAGGUUUUAUACUUGGAGCUUAGGCUGAGCCUGACCCUGCCCGAGUGCACAAAGCACUUCCCUUCCAUCCUUCACUGCUGUGCAGGGAAAAAUAGAGGACUGGUUGUCUCAGGUGGUGAUUGUGUUGCUCUUUCCCCCUGCAGUUAAUCCCCUGAAUGAGAUCAGGGACAGGUGUGAGGUGUGGGCAGAAACAUGCUGCUAAGAAGAAAACCAUGUGCUAUAGUGUUUUCUAUGGGAUGUGAAGCAUUUACUGCUCUAGGGCCUGGGAGGAGUUCUGGCUAAAUCACAUAGAAUUCUUCUUGGAGGGUCCCAAUGCUCCUUAGUCCAGUGUUUGUAGGAGCUGCUACGAAUCUGACCUGCAGGGUGAAAGUUAUAGUGAAGUUCCAUCUUCAGGGGCUACAAGCUUCAGACAAUUCUUUAGAGUGCUGUUGAUUUACCCUGUGCUUUACUAUUUUUUAUUCACUAUGAAACUAAGAUAGUCAUCCACACAAAUGCAAUACAAGCGGUCUACUCUCCAAAUAUGGGUAAGUAGUGGUAAAUGUUGUCCCAGUUGUGCUAUUUUUGAAGACUAUUAGCUCAGUCGGGUUAAACAGAAUUUUCAUUGGGCUGACCCCAAUAUACUUUCUCAGUGAAGUCUAGCUUCCAUCCCAAAUUCAUCAGAUGCCCAUACUCCUCUCCUAGCCACCAUGGACGUUACCAACCUAUAUACCAACAUCCCACACCAGGAUGGCAUCCAAGCCUGCCUUACAUAUCUACAGGAACAAGAUUACAACUCAGAAUACAGACCCAAAGAUAUUACUGACCUUAUACACUUCAUCCUCACACACAACAAUUUCACUUUUAAUAAUCAACACUUCCUCCAGAUGAUGGGAACAGCUAUGGGCACUAAAAUGGCCCCACAGUAUGCCAACCUUUUUAUGAACCGCCUGGAAGAAGACUUCCUCAAGAACUUCAACAUCAAACCCUUGCUAUACUUAAGAUAUAUAGAUGACAUCUUCAUCAUUUGGACUGAAAACCUACAAUCCCUGAUUGAGUUCCAUCAGAAAUUCAACGAUCACCAUCCAACUUUCUCUAGAAUACUCCAGCACCAGCAUCUCCUUUUUAGACACAAUGAUCAGUGUCCAGAAUGAUAAAAUACAGACCAUGUUAUACAAGAAACCCACAGACCAACAUACAUAUCAGCACAGAACCAGCAAUCACCCUAAACACACAAAAAAAGCUGUGAUAUACAGCCAAGCCCUCAGAUACCACCGCAUUUGCACUGAAGAGAACACCCGGGAUUGCCACCUCACCAAUCUUAAAAAGGCUUUCACCCAACAAGGACACUCCUCCAGACAGAUAGAUUGCACGUUUGAAAGAGCCACCUGGAUACCACGUGAAGAACUGCUGCAGUACAGAAGAAAACCCCCCACAAAUUGCACACUGCUGCUUAUGACACAUCACCCCCCCCCUUGAACCUUUACGGAAAAUCCUCAAACAACUCCAACCCAUACUAGACAGAGACCCUAUUCUUAAAAAGAUCUUCCCAGAGCCACCCAUCCUAGCUUUCAAACAAGCACCGAACCUCGCCAACCUCAUCACCAGAAGCAAACUUCCUCAGGCCCAGAACACACCAAAAGGAUCCAGACUGUGCCAUGACAAGAAAUGCAAUAUAUCUCAUCCAAUGCACCAAAUGCCCAGAUGGAAAAUAUGUAGGAGAGACCAAAUAACAACUGCACACCAGAAUGAACGCACACCGGAAAUCUAUCAAAGACAGAAAUACCCAAUUACCUGAGGGGGCACAUUUCUCAGAAGAAAACCACUCUCUCUCCAAUCUCUCAGUCCUGAUUCUCAAAGGAAACUUACACGACACUUCCCAGAGAUGAGCCUAUGAACUCCACUUCAUCAACCCCCUGGAUACUAAAAAUUAUGGACUAAAUAUAGACAUUGGAUUUAUGAUGCAUUAUAGUCUGUCUGACAUCUGACUCCCCAGGUAUCUCUCCACUUUCAUCCCCCUUCUCUCUCUUCCCCCCCAUCCUGUCUCUCACCCAUUGACUCCUCAAUCUACAUUUUCACUGACUACCUGUCUUGUAUGCAGACCAGACCAGCCGCUGGCUUCUUUACUUUUCAUUCCAUCCAGGAAGAGCACACACCAACCGCUGAAACUUCCUUAGCCUGACGAAGGAUUUUUGAACCCGAAAGCUUGCUUAAUAAUUAUUUUCCAACUAUUUGGGUUGGUCUAAUAAAAGAUAUCAGAUUCACCCAAGGAACCGUG